AGCAUGGUCAUUACGCGGGUGUGAGGGCGGGCUGGACCCUUCUCGGGGUUACAGCCUUGCUGAAUUAUUCCCCCUUGUCUUUUGCGUACUUCUUGUUUCCUUGGUGGGUUCGCCCACCACUAGGACAAACAUAAACCUUUUGUAAUUGCAAUCAGCGUCAGUAACAAAUUAAUAAUUACAACUUUCAACAACGGAUCUCUUGGUUCUGGCAUCGAUGAAGAACGCAGCGAAAUGCGAUAAGUAGUGUGAAUUGCAGAAUUCAGUGAAUCAUCGAAUCUUUGAACGCACAUUGCGCCCUUUGGUAUUCCAAAGGGCAUGCCUGUUCGAGCGUCAUUUGUACCCUCAAGCUUUGCUUGGUGUUGGGCGUCUUGUCUCUAGCUUUGCUGGAGACUCGCCUUAAAGUAAUUGGCAGCCGGCCUACUGGUUUCGGAGCGCAGCACAAGUCGCACUCUCUAUCAGCAAAGGUCUAGCAUCCAUUAAGCCUUUUUUUCAACUUUUGACCUCGGAUCACGUAGGGAUACCCGCUGAACUUAAGCAUAUCAAUAAAGCCGGAGGAAAAAA
rnacentral:rRNA from 1 species